AGGAGACUCAGUAGUCAAGUUGGCUCAUGCUCUGUGAUCAUAGAUUCUGCAUUUGUGAACUAUGACUGUAAUGGGCAGGAGGCACACAGUUAAGUUAGCAAAUAUAGUAAAUAGUUUUGAUACUAUUUCUGUUCACCUAGUGUUUCUCAAGUGUCAGCAUACACCAAGAUGACUGAUGGACCUGAUGGUAACAGCCCGAUGACAGAGCUGAGUUUAGCAGGCCUAGAGUGGUGCCUGGGACCCUGAAUUUCUAACAGAUUCCCAGCUGAGGCUGCUGUUGCUGGGAUUAUACCAAGAACCACUGUUCCAGUCAUGUUCUCCAUAAACACGAGUGCUCACUGUUGGCAUCUGGGAGGCUUGGGUCAGAGUUACUGUCACCACUGAGGAGAGAGAAAUGUAACAUGCAUGAUGCAUCUAAUGUAUUCCAAGUGUGGUGUCAGAGUCCUAUGCAAGUCAUCCCCCAGAAAGCGUGUGAUGGUGUCGGUGUGGACUGGAGAGAUCUGACAGAGCUGGAUUUAGUCCUGAAUCCUGGAUCCUACUGUCCUUAGAACUGGCCCUUGGCUUGCAUUUGAGAACGGCUCCUCUGGCUGAAACUGUGUGCUGGCUGUUGAUCAGAUGAACACGCAAUUGUCUAUGUGCUGCUGGGUCUGCUCGGCCUGCUCCCUUCAUUUAGGCCUGGAUGGCCAGGGAAUAGGCUUCCUACAAGGUCAGGAACAGGAUGAAGGCCUCUGUUCUGUGUGGGACCAGCGAUCAGCAUGAGAAGGAAGGUUUGAUCCUGCUGAAUCACCUUCUUCCUGCAGUUGACGCCUGCUGUGUCCUGGGCUUGAAGGAGUCAGUGUGUCCAAAGUAUCCAACUACAAUGAAAAUGGGUUUCCAAAAACGUUGGAUGGAAAGAUGAAGGAAUUUGAUCUGCAGGGAUGUGUGCAUAAGAGAAAAGUCCCUGUGAGGACACAGGCAGAAGGCAUCAUCUGACAGACAAGGAGCGCCUCGGAAGGAAACAAACCUGCUCACAUUUGUAGCCUCCAGAACUACAUCCACAGGAUCAGGUUUUAGGAGCCAGUGCACACCAUGCCCACUGCCAGCUGAUCCUGCUUCUGAGAAUGGAAGAAAGAAAGAGAGAAAGAAGAAUCUUCACCUCUUCUUUGUUUUAUCUGUCUUUGAUUUGGAAUUAUGAGAUCUGAUUUACUUCAGUCUCUAAAGUUCGUUCUAAUUUUUCACUGAGUUCUAAAUAAAUGGGGUCUAUUGAAAAAUUUGAAAGGACCGUCUAAGAAAUUACCACCCUAUCUUCAAAUUCAAUAUUAGCAAAAAUCACGUUGUCAGUGUCUUUUUCUCCCAUGUCUUCAUCCUACUCUUCGCCUCCUUUCCCAUCAGUCAUCCCUUCCCUGUCCUCAGCUGUCUAGGUAUUUUUGCAUUAAGUCAUUUUUUUAUACCAUAGAUGUACUAUUCUAGAUUUAAGUUACUUAAUUCUGUUGUUAUGCCUCACUAUGCAGAUAAAUCUCUCCAUUCUACCUUUUUCUUGGACUCUGUGUCAAAUCUAUCACUGAAGUCUACCGUUAUUUCCCCCCCUCUCAGGUUUCUUCACAGCGAUCACAGUGAUACAAGCCAUUACUAUUUCUCACCAGGUUCUUUGUAGUAGCUUCCAAACUAGGUUCCCUACCUCUGUAUUUAACCUCUUAUUCUGUACCAAGGCUGGGGUGCACUUUUGGGGACAUAAGUCAGAUGAUGCCAUGACCUACCAGUGAUGUCUCCCGCACUCACAACUAAGUCCCUGCAAUGGUGACAUACUAUAAUCUGCCUCCCACUCCCUCUGGAACCUCAUCUCUUGCUACUCCUGUCCCUUCAGGAUCCCAUGCUAUUUCAUAAACUGUCAUACACGG